rnacentral:rRNA from 1 species
UCCAGACUCCUACGGGAGGCAGCAAUGGGGAAUAUUGCACAAUGGGCGCAAGCCUGAUGCAGCCAUGCCGCGUGUAUGAAGAAGGCCUUCGGGUUGUAAAGUACUUUCAGUCGGGAGGAAGGUGGUAAGGUUAAUAACCUUAUCAAUUGACGUUACCGACAGAAGAAGCACCGGCUAACUCCGUGCCAGCAGCCGCGGUAAUACGGAGGGUGCAAGCGUUAAUCGGAAUUACUGGGCGUAAAGCGCACGCAGGCGGGCUGUCAAGUCGGGUGUGAAAUCCCCGGGCGCAACCUGGGAACUGCAUUCGAAACUGGCAGGCUGGAGUCUUGGAGAGGGGGGUAGAAUUCCAGGGGUAGCGGGGAAAUGCGUAGAGAUCUGGAGGAAUACCGGUGGCGAAGGCGGCCCCCUGGACAAAGACUGACGCUCCGGUGCGAAAGCGUGGGGAGCAAACAGGAUUAGAUACCCGCGUAA